AUUGAACGCUGGCGGCAUGCCUAACACAUGCAAGUCGAACGGCAGCAUGACCUAGCUUGCUAGGUUGAUGGCGAGUGGCGGACGGGUGAGUAACGCGUAGGAAUAUGCCUUGAAGAGGGGGAUAACUUGGGGAAACUCAAGCUAAUACCGCGUAAUAUCUGAGGAUGAAAGCUGGGGACCGUAAGGCCUGGCGCUUUAAGAAUAGCCUGCGUACGAUUAGCUAGUUGGUGGGGUAAGGGCCUACCAAGGCGACGAUCGUUAGCUGGUCUGAGAGGAUGAUCAGCCACACUGGGACUGAGACACGGCCCAGACUCCUACGGGAGGCAGCAGUGGGGAAUAUUGGACAAUGGGGGCAACCCUGAUCCAGCAAUGCCGCGUGUGUGAAGAAGGCCUGAGGGUUGUAAAGCACUUUCAGUGGGGAGGAGGGUUGACAGGUUAAGAGCUAGUUGACUGGACGUUACCCACAGAAGAAGCACCGGCUAACUCCGUGCCAGCCGCCGCGGUA
rnacentral:rRNA from 1 species